CAAAGGAUAGUUUAAUUAAAAUGUAAAUUUUGGAGAUUUAUGAUAGGAGUGAUCUUUCCUUUGA
rnacentral:tRNA from 1 species